GAGGGAGUAGUAGGUUAUUUGGAUGGACAUCGACAUCUGCAAAUUACAAAGUGCUCAAGAGGUAGCUUCUUGCUGGAUCGUAGCCUGAAGAAGACCCAGCCCGGUGGGGACGACCGGUGCCCUUUUACGUGGUGUCCUUGAGACCUUGAAUCAUAUGUUUUGCCAUGCAAUUGUAAUUGAACUGUAAUUAUCUCCCACAUGAGGAUAAUCUAAUAUUGCCCGCCCUUCGUCACAAUGUAGGAUUUCAAUCUUGCGAUGCUUGGAGCAGAUACAAUAUUUAAUUGCCAACUGCUUCAAAUAAAAAAAUCCAAAUUCAUUAUAUUGGGUGGGUAAUUCACUUAGACAUCAAACACCCCCUCUCCCCCACACCCCGUGCAAGCUCCCUCCAGCCUCAUACGUGGAAUAAAGGAGCCGGUUGCAAUUAUAUUUAAUUAAUUGCACUCUCCCUGAUUCAAAUUUAACAGCUGGUACUAAUCUUACUAUUACUAAUACUAAUUGGAGGCUUCUUUUGAAGCCUCUAGGUGGACACUCUAGAAAAAGAGAGAAAUCCUAGAAAUUCUCACAAAAAAGCAAAACAUCCGACCAUCGAUCGAUAGAUUCAAAUCAUUAUAGCUACUGGAUCUAUUAUGUUUUUUAAAAAAAUUACCCACCCAUGCCAUUAUGAAAAUAGCCUAAAGUAACCCCCUAAAUCUAUUUAUAAAUUACCCACCUCUGCCAUUAUAUAAAAUUAAUUAAAGUAACCCCUAAUCUUCAUCAAAAUUACCCACUUAUGCCAUUAUAAAUAAUAUUUAAAAUAACCCUCUAAUUUACAACUUAAUUGACUACCAAUAUUACUUAAACUUUUAAGUAACCCCUUAAAUUUGCAUCUAUAUUACCCACACAUGCUAUUAUUAAAAAUAACAUGAGGUAACCCUACAUUUUUUUUUCCAUUGAAGACUCCACGUUAGUUCCCACGAGACAAGCUAGAGAGAAAUUCUCAUAAAAAUUAAAAAUAUCAAACACCAAUCAUGUAAACUCUAAUAAUCACAGCCAUUGAUCUAUUAUAUUUUCUAAAAGGUUACCUGCCACUAUCACUGUGAAAAUAUUAAAAAAUAAGCUCUAAACAUAUAUCUAAAUUACCGAGCUCAGCUAUUAUAAAAAGUAAUAUAAAAUAAUCUCAUAAUCUUCAUCCA
rnacentral:lncRNA from 1 species